UUUUUCUUACGGGAGGCAGCAGUGGGGAAUCUUGACAAGGGGCCAACCGUAAUCCAGCAAAGCCGCGGAGCAAGAAGGCGUUAGGGCGGUAAAGCGAUGAAUCCGGAGGAAGUAAACCCUUACACCGAGGAAAGACGGUACGGAGAAAAGCACAGCUACUCG
rnacentral:rRNA from 1 species